AACGUAGGGGACAAGCGUUAUCCGGAUUUACGGGGCGUAAAGCGCCCGUAGGCGGCCUGACAAGUUGGACGUGAAAGCUCCUGGCUUAACUGGGAGAGGCCGUUCAAAACUGUCAAGCUAGAGUCUGGAAGAGGAGAGCGGAAUUCCCGGUGUAGUGGUGGAAUGCGUAGAGAUCGGGAGGAACACCAGUGGCGAAAGCGGCUCUCUGGUCCAAAACUGACGCUGAGGGGCGAAAGCGUGGGGAGCGAACGGG
rnacentral:rRNA from 1 species